rnacentral:rRNA from 1 species
AAGCCCCUUCGGGGGUGGAUCAGUGGCGAACGGGUGAGUAACACGUGAGCAACCUGCCCCUGACUCUGGGAUAACCCCGGGAAACCGGAGCUAAUACCGGAUACGACACGAGUAGGCAUCUACAUCGUGUGGAAAGAUUUAUCGGUCAGGGAUGGGCUCGCGGCCUAUCAGCUUGUUGGUGGGGUAAAGGCCCACCAAGGCGACGACGGGUAGCCGGCCUGAGAGGGCGACCGGCCACACUGGGACUGAGACACGGCCCAGACUCCUACGGGAGGCAGCAGUGGGGAAUAUUGCGCAAUGGGCGAAAGCCUGACGCAGAGACGCCGCGUGAGGGAUGAAGGCCUUCGGGUUGUAAACCUCUUUCAGCAGGGAAGAAGCGAAAGUGACGGUACCUGCAGAAGAAGCACCGGCUAACUACGUGCCAGCAGCCGCGGUAAUACGUAGGGUGCUAGCGUUGUCCGGAAUUAUUGGGCGUAAAGAGCUCGUAGGCGGUCUGUCGUGUCUGCUGUGAAAACUCGGGGCUUAACCCCGGGCCUGCAGUGGGUACGGGCAGACUAGAGUGUGGUAGGGGAGACUGGAAUUCCUGGUGUAGCGGUGAAAUGCGCAGAUAUCAGGAGGAACACCGGUGGCGAAGGCGGGUCUCUGGGCCAUAACUGACGCUGAGGAGCGAAAGCGUGGGGAGCGAACAGGAUUAGAUACCCUGGUAGUCCACGCCGUAAACGUUGGGCGCUAGGUGUGGGGCUCUUUCCACGAGUUCCGUGCCGCAGCUAACGCAUUAAGCGCCCCGCCUGGGGAGUACGGCCG